UACGGGGGGGGCAAGCGUUGUUCGGAAUUACUGGGCGUAAAGGGCUCGUAGGCGGCCAACUAAGUCCGACGUGAAAUCCCCAGGCUUAACCUGGGAACUGCGUCGGAUACUGGAUGGCUUGAAUUCGGGAGAGGGAUGCAGAAUUCCAGGUGUAGCGGUGAAAUGCGUAGAUAUUGGGAAGAACACCGGUGGCGAAGGCGGCCAUCUGGACCGCAACUGACGCUGAGGCGCGAAAGCGUGGGGAGCAAACAGG
rnacentral:rRNA from 1 species